UACAGAGGGGGCAAGCGUUGUUCGGAAUUACUGGGCGUAAAGGGCGCGUAGGCGGCCUUCUAAGUCGAACGUGAAAUCCCCGGGCUCAACCCGGGAACUGCGUCCGAUACUGGAAGGCUUGAAUCCGGGAGAGGGAUGCGGAAUUCCAGGUGUAGCGGUGAAAUGCGUAGAUAUCUGGAGGAACACCGGUGGCGAAAGCGGCUCUCUGGGGACCAUCUGACGCUGAGGCGCGAAAGCGUGGGGAGCGAACCGG
rnacentral:rRNA from 1 species